UAAUACGGAGGGUGCAAGCGUUAUCCGGAUUCACUGGGUUUAAAGGGUGCGUAGGUGGGUUGGUAAGUCAGUGGUGAAAUCUCCGAGCUUAACUUGGAAACUGCCAUUGAUACUAUCAGUCUUGAAUAUUGUGGAGGUCAGCGGAAUAUGUCAUGUAGCGGUGAAAUGCUUAGAUAUGACAUAGAACACCAAUUGCGAAGGCAGCUGGCUACUCAUAUAUUGACACUGAGGCACGAAAGCGUGGGGAUCAAACAGGAUUAGAUACCCUGGUAGUCCACGCCCUAAACUAUGGAUACUCGACAUACGCGAUACACAGUGUGUGUCUGAGCGAAAGCAUUAAGUAUCCCACCUGGGAAGUACGAUCGCAAGAUUG
rnacentral:rRNA from 1 species